rnacentral:tRNA from 1 species
UGAGCCGUUAGCUCAGUUGGUAGAGCAUCUGACUUUUAAUCAGAGGGUCACAGGUUCGAGCCCUGUACGGCUCAUAUU